UACGUAGGGUGCGAGCGUUGUCCGGAAUUAUUGGGCGUAAAGAGCUUGUAGGCGGUCUGUCGCGUCGGCUGUGAAAUCCGGGGCUCAACCCCGGACUUGCAGUGGGUACGGGCAGACUAGAGUGUGGUAGGGGAGACUGGAAUUCCUGGUGUAGCGGUGAAAUGCGCAGAUAUCAGGAGGAACACCGGAGGCGAAGGCGGCUUGCUGGGCUUUGUCUGACGCUGAGGCGCGAAAGCGUGGGGAGCGAACAGG
rnacentral:rRNA from 1 species